rnacentral:rRNA from 1 species
AUUGAACGCUGGCGGCAGGCUUAACACAUGCAAGUCGAACGAGUGGCGGACGGGUGAGUAAUGCUUGGGAAUCUGUCUUAUGGAGGGGGAUAACGACGGGAAACUGUCGCUAAUACCGCGUCCCAUAGUAUGACCCCAUGUGGGAUUGGGUAGUUGGUGGGGUAAUGGCCAACCAAGGCGACGAUCUCUAGCUGGUCUGAGAGGAUGACCAGCCACACUGGGACUGAGACACGGCCCAGACUCCUACGGGAGGCAGCAGUGGGGAAUAUUGCGCAAUGGGGGCAACCUGAUGCAGCCAUGCCGCGUGAAUGAAGAAGGCCUUCGGGUUGUAAAGUUCUUUCGGUGACGAGGCGUUAAUCACAGAAGAAGCACCGGCUAACUCCGUGCCAGCAGCCGCGGUAAUAC